rnacentral:rRNA from 1 species
UACGUAGGGACCAAGCGUUGUUCGGAUUUACUGGGCGUAAAGGGCGCGUAGGCGGCGCGGUAAGUCACUUGCGAAAUCUCUGAGCUUAACUCAGAACGGCCAAGUGAUACUGCCGGGCUAGAGGGUGGUAGAGGCGAGUGGAAUUCCCGGUGUAGCGGUGAAAUGCGCAGAUAUCGGGAGGAACACCAGUAGCGAAGGCGGCUCGCUGGGCCACACCUGACGCUGAGACGCGAAAGCUAGGGGAGCGAACAGG